rnacentral:rRNA from 1 species
UCCACGCCGUAAACGGUGGGCGCUAGAUGUGGGGACCAUUCCAUGGUUUCUGCGUCGCAGCUAACGCAUUAAGCGCCCCGCCUGGGGAGUACGGUCGCAAGACUAAAACUCAAAGGAAUUGACGGGGGCCCGCACAAGCAGCGGAGCAUGCGGCUUAAUUCGAUGCAACGCGAAGAACCUUACCUAGGCUUGACAUAUAGAGAAAUCCCACAGAGAUGUGGAGUCCGUAAGGGCUCUAUACAGGUGGUGCAUGGUUGUCGUCAGCUCGUGUCGUGAGAUGUUGGGUUAAGUCCCGCAACGAGCGCAACCCUCGUUCUAUGUU